rnacentral:rRNA from 1 species
AACGUACGCUGGCGGCACGCCUAACACAUGCAAGUCGAACGCAGUAGCAAUACUGAGUGGCAAACGGGUGAGUAUAAUGUGGGAAUCUGCCUUUUGGUUUGGAAUAACACGGGGAAACUUGUGCUAAUACCGAAUAAGCCCUUACGGGGAAAGUUUUAAUGCCGAAAGAUGAGCCCGGCACUUGAUUAGCUAGUUGGUAAGGUAAAAGCUUACCAAGGCAACGAUCAAUAGCUGUUCUUAGAGGAAGACCAGCCACAUUGGGACUGAGACACGGCCCAGACUCCUACGGAGGCAGCAGUGGGGAAUCUUGCACAAUGGGGGAAACCCUGAUGCAGCGAUGCCGCGUGAGUGAAG